rnacentral:rRNA from 1 species
AGUCGCACGGGGUAGCAAUACCCAGUGGCGCAAGGGUGAGUAAUGUAUCGCUAAUGUACCCCGGACUCUGGGAUAGCUGCCCGAAAGGGCAGGUAAUACCAGAUGAUAUAACCGGCCCGCAUGGGUUGGUUCUCAAAGGUCCGCCGGUCUGGGCGCAGGCGAUAUCGUAUCAGCUAGUUGGUGAGGUAACGGCCCACCAAGGCAACGACGCGUAGCCGGACUGAGAGGUCGGUCGGCCACAUCGGGACUGAGACACUGCCCGGACUCCUACGGGGGGCUGCAGUAACGAAUCUUCCCCAAUGGGCGCAAGCCUGAGGGAGCGACGCCGCGUGGAGGAUGAAGUCCUUCGGGAUGUAAACUCCUGUCAGGGGUUAGAAAGUUCUGAUCAACCCCAAAGGAAGAGACGGCUAACUCUGUGCCAGCAGCCGCGGUAAGACAGAGGUCUCAAGCGUUAGGCGGAAUCACUGGGCUUAAAGCGUGUGUAGGCGGAUCGUUAAGUGCUUUGUGAAAUCCCACAGCUCAACUGUGGAACUGCUUGGCAUACUGGCGGUCUUGAGCCAUCUAGGGGUCGCUGGAACAAACGGUGGAGCGGUGAAAUGCGUAGAUAUCGUUUGGAACGCCAAUGGUGAAAACAGGCGACUGGGGAUGUGCUGACGCCGAGACACGAAAGCCAGGGGAGCAAACGGGAUUAGAUACCCCGGUAGUCCUGGCCCUAAACGAUGUCCACUAGAUCGUAGUACCUCUGACGGUUUUACGGUCGAAGCAAAAGUGCUAAGUGGACCGCCUGGGAAGUACGGUCGCAAGG